rnacentral:rRNA from 1 species
GGAGGUAGUGACAAUAAAUCUCAAUACGAAGCCUUUGGUUUUGUAAUUGAAUUGAGAACAAUGUACAAUCGUUAUCGAUAAACAAUUGGAGGGCAAGUCUGGUGCCAGCAGCCGCGGUAAUUCCAGCUCCAAUAGCGUAUAUUAACGUUGUUGCAGUUAAAAAGCUCGUAGUUGAAGUUUAGAUAAUUUAUUGAAAGUGUUUGUAUUCGUACAUUCUACUUUUAUGUAAGUUAUCGACAUCCAGGUGGGUGCUCUGAUUCCUUCGGGGGUUAGGGUACUAGACUGGUCAUUUACUGUGAGAAAAUUAGAGUGUUUAAAGCGGACUGUUCAGUUUGAAUAGAUUAGCAUGGAAUAAUAAGAUUGGCUUUCAUAGUCGAUUUUUUGGUUUGUUUAUGAAAGCAAGAUUAAUAGGGACAGUUGGGGGUAUUCAUAUUCAAUAGCUAGAGGUGAAAUUCUAUGAUUUAUGGAAGAUGAACAAGUGCGAAAGCA